rnacentral:rRNA from 1 species
AGAGCGAACGCUGGCGGCGUGCUUAACACAUGCAAGUCGAACGAGGUCUGUAGCAAUACAGAUACUCGUGGCGAACGGGUGCGUAACACGUGGAUAACCUUCCUUCAGGUGGGGAAUAACCCAGUGAAAAUUGGGCUAAUACCGCAUAACAUGACGAUGCCACAUGGUGUUGUCUUCAAAGGCGCAAGUCGCCAGAAGAGGGAUCCGCGGCCGAUUAGCUAGUUGGCGAGGUAAUGGCUCACCAAGGCAAUGAUCGGUAGCCGGACUGAGAGGUUGGCCGGCCACACUGGAACUGAGACACGGUCCAGACUCCUACGGGAGGCAGCAGUGGGGAAUCUUGCACAAUGGACGAAAGUCUGAUGCAGCAACGCCGCGUGGGGAUGAAGCUUUUCGGAGUGUAAACCCUUUCGACCCGGAAGAAAGCCCGCAAGGGUUUGACGGUACGGGUAUAAGAAGCCCGGCUAACUACGUGCCAGCAGCCGCGGU